rnacentral:tRNA from 1 species
UCUUGGUUGGCUUAGUUAGUAGAGCGCUCCACUGAAAAUGGAAAUGUCCCUGGUUCGAUACCGGGACCGGGCG